rfam:Aerococcus urinae ACS-120-V-Col10a, complete genome.
GGAGAAGUAGCGAAGAGGCCGUAACGCGCUUGACUCGAAAUCAAGUUGUCGGGAAACCGGCACGUGGGUUCGAAUCCCACCUUCUCCG